GGAACCUUGUGUCAAGCUCGAUAAUGAAAAAGCCCCUUUUGUCUUCAUGGGCUCAGUACAGCCCAGCCCCUGUUAAAACCCUGACAUGCUGUGCAGCUAACCAAUCUCUUAUACUGGGGGUGUGGGAUUGGGGUGAGGGAACAGCAAAAAAAUAUAAAUUGAAAACAAAAUGAAUACGUUUCCUGAAACAAAGCCAAAAUCUGAAUAAUCCUUAGGUAAUGACCAUUUAUGCAGCUGACAGUUUUCCAAGUUUUUCUUUCCACCCUUUUUAAGUAACAUGGGGAUCUGGUCCAAUUUUAAAGCCAGAGAUUACUCAGAACUAUUUUUAGGUCAUUUCAUCCCAUUUUUAGUUGACUUGUGUAACCUAGGCGGUAGUUUCAUUUCAAAGCUGCAGUGGAAGACAUGCCUGAGUUCUCCGCGCACCAGUGCCAGGAUGCAAGCCUCCGCCCUCCCAGGAAACUGGCCAGUGAUAUUCCAUCUCCCUUCCUGCUGUCAGCUUCUUGACGGAAGAAGAUACAGACACAGAGGAGAAGGUCACGUGAAGACAAAGGCAGAGACUGGAACGAUACCUCUACAAGCCACAGAACGCCAGGAACUACCAGAGGCUGGAAGAUGCAAAGAUCCUCCCCCAGAACCUCCAGAGGAAGCGUGCCCAUCAGGGUGCCGACACCCUGAUGAUGGACGUCUGGCCUCCAGAACUGGGGUAGAAGAGAUAGGUAGCUGCUCCGGGAAGAAAGAACUGUAAGAGAACAGAUGGCAGCGGGGGACCACUGAACGCCUAAGAGGACAAGACGUGCACGACAAGAUAGAAGAUCUUCAAAGACAAUGCUCAAAAUGUGGGCAAAGGAAAUUAAUAGACACAUCACGGAAAAGACCUAAGUCAAAAGUUCACAGGAAGAUGGUACAGUUCACUAUUAAUAUCUCACGUGCAUGUUUUUCAAAUUUUCACAAUGUUUUAAGAUACAAGGAGACUCCUCAUACCCAAAUACUGACCUGUAAGGAUGUUCUGCAACAUAAGUGUGUCUUCCAACCUAACUACAUUAACACAAGUAAACCUCAAAAUGCUUACUAACUUGAAUGAUAAAUUGUAAAAGUAACAUUUAUUUUACUGAAUGCCAAGACUACUGAAGACCAAAAGUGUUCUUUAGCUUAUAAAUGGUCCACUUGUAAUUUGCUAGCACAACUUUAGAAGUGCUUUCAAGGGGGGGAAAAAAACACUCAAAAUAUAAACAAACUCUCAUCUUCAAUAAGACUCCAUUACUGUAAAAGGUUAAGGAUGGAUCUUAAAUAGCUCAUAAACAGAGAAAGUAUGCCUGGAUUGAUUUAAGAAACCUGUAAAAUCUUAUAGAUUUACUUACCCUAGUAUAAAUUUCAUCACUAACCUUUACAUAAUCAUAGAACUGAGGUAGGCACAUUGUCCAACACUUAAAUUUGGUUUAAGGUAAUUACUAGUCCCAAAUAUAAAAAUUACCUAUCUCUAGAACAAGUGGGUAGAUAUUAAAAAUAAAUUCAGUCUACCUUUACUGUUGAAUCAGUAUUGCUUCCAUAACUAUUGAUGAAAACUUGAAAAAUACUCUCCAUGGAAAAAUAUUCUAAUAUCAAAAAAUUUUUCAUCUGAAUAUUAGCAUAUUAAGAUAUAACUGAUUAAUACUGAUAAUUUCCUUAUUUUUAGACUGCAUACAGUGAAAUUAUGAUAUGCAGAAAUGAUAAAUGUCUCAUAUAUUUUAAAACUAAAACUAAGUAGUGGGACUUCCCUGGUGGUCCAGUGGUUAAGAAUCUGCCUUCCAAUGCCAGGG